AAACGACUCUCGGCAACGGAUAUCUCGGCUCACGCAUCGAUGANGAACGUAGCAAAAUGCGAUACAUGGUGUGAAUUGCAGAAUCCCGUGANCCAUCGAGUUUUUGAACGCAAGUUGCGCCCGAAGCCAUCCGGUUGAGGGCACGUCUGCCUGGGCGUCACGC
rnacentral:rRNA from 1 species